AGAGUUUGAUCCGGGCUCAGGACGGAACGCUGGCGGCGUGCCUAAUACAUGCAAGUUAGAACGCGGACUACUUUAGCUUGCUAGAGUUAGAAGGAGUUUGCGAACGGGUGAGUAACGCGUAGGUAACCUGCCUACUAGCGGGGGAUAACUAUUGGAAACGAUAGCUUAAUACCGCAUAACAGUGUUUAACACAUGUUAGAUGCUUGAAAGAUGCAAAUGCAUCACUAGUAGAUGGACCUGCGUUGUAUUAGCUAGUUGGUGGGGUAACGGCCUACCAAGGCGACGAUACAUAGCCGACCUGAGAGGGUGAUCGGCCACACUGGGACUGAGACACGGCCCAGACUCCUACGGGAGGCAGCAGUAGGGAAUCUUCGGCAAUGGGGGCAACCCUGACCGAGCAACGCCGCGUGAGUGAAGAAGGUUUUCGGAUCGUAAAGCUCUGUUGUAAGAGAAGAACGUGUGUGAGAGUGGAAAGUUCACACAGUGACGGUAACUUACCAGAAAGGGACGGCUAACUACGUGCCAGCAGCCGCGGUAAUACGUAGGUCCCGAGCGUUGUCCGGAUUUAUUGGGCGUAAAGCGAGCGCAGGCGGUUUAAUAAGUCUGAAGUUAAAGGCAGUGGCUUAACCAUUGUUCGCUUUGGAAACUGUUAAACUUGAGUGCAGAAGGGGAGAGUGGAAUUCCAUGUGUAGCGGUGAAAUGCGUAGAUAUAUGGAGGAACACCGGUGGCGAAAGCGGCUCUCUGGUCUGUAACUGACGCCGAGGCUCGAAAGCGUGGGGAGCAAACAGGAUUAGAUACCCUGGUAGUCCACGCCGUAAACGAUGAGUGCUAGGUGUUAGGCCCUUUCCGGGGCUUAGUGCCGCAGCU
rnacentral:rRNA from 1 species